ncrna:unclassified sequences SAM-I/IV variant riboswitch
UAUCAGCAUCAAGAGUAGGAUUAAAUUCCUCUCCAACCUGCCACUCCGGCAAGGUGGAAAAAAUGAUGUGGUUAACCAACAACUAAAGGAGUUAAA